rnacentral:rRNA from 1 species
AUACGGAGGAUCCGAGCGUUAUCCGGAUUUAUUGGGUUUAGAGGGUGCGCAGGCGGCCAUUUAAGUCAGCGGUUAAAUCGUGGGGCUCAACCCCAUUCUGCCGUUGAUACUGGGUGGCUUGAUUGCGGUCGAGGUUGGCGGAAUUCGUUGUGUAGCGGUGAAAUGCAUAGAUAUGACGAAGAACACCGAUUGCGUAGGCAGCUGACCAGACCGCAAAUGACGCUCAUGCACGAAAGUGCGGGGAUCGAACAGGAUUAGAUACCCUGGUAGUCCGCACAGUAAACGAUGAAUACUUGUUUUCGGCGAUAUAAUGUCGGAGGCAAAGCGAAAGCGAUAAGUAUUCCACCUGGGGAGUACGCCGGCAACGGUGAAACUCAAAUGAAUUGACGGGG